rnacentral:sRNA from 1 species
AGUUUUAAAUAUGAAAACAAAUCUAGCAAAAUAUUCUUAUGCACGACAUGUUCAACAUACAGAGAUUUUCAGAGUCUGGUGUUUCUAUGCCCAUUGGCCAAGGAAUCUAAUAUAUUGGAGACUUUACAGUGUGAAUCAUGAGAGAUAGUCAGAUACUCCUGUAUUUGACCAAAUCCAGUUUCUCAAAAGUCAACUCCAGAGGUUCAGAGUAACCUUGUUACUGACUACCAUCAACACAGUGUCCCCAAGUUCACUCCUGUAGAACAAGCUGAAGGUUUCCCUAACAAUAUACACAUUUUCUGAAUGGGUAAGAAGUGAACAUGAAACUUCUAUUAUCAACAUGGAAUGACGCAGCUCUUCCCCACCUCCCCACUUUCAUGCAACCCUGCUUAAAAAGGACUUGCCUCUGUCUAAUCACUCACUGAAGGGCCACCAUCUAAGAAGACGGGAAGUAAUGUGUAAACAAAGGGAUGGGGUACACCCCAUAUUUAUUCCUUCUUGUAUAGGCUAGCUACAUAAGCUUGUUCAGUGAACAGAUGCGAUUAAAACUGAUUAUUGGCAAAGAAAGCAUACGUAUGGCCUUUUAAGGUGACAGAUGCCUGCUAGUGAGGACAGGACCAAGUCAGGCACCAGAGAAGCAGGCUCUGGCCAGUUAUGUGGACAUCAUGAAAAUACUGAGCAUCCCAAAAGGGAGCAACAAUAGAUUACAGUGAUGAGCUUUGGAAGGCAGAGCGAAUGAUGUCACCGUUUUGAACUUUUUCAGUACAUGCUGCAAAGACAGAAGAAGAACGGCAUGGGGAAAGAAAACGAGAGAUCUGAAAUCUUUGUCUCUGAGCUUUAAGAGGAAUCUGUUUUAAAACCUCAAGCUGUUUCAUGUAUGCAGAGAUAAAUCUUCUCAAGACCUGAUGCCUUCAAACACACCCAGAGGAAACAACUCUGUUUCCAGAAGUUUCUUCCUGGAAUACAUCUCUUGUCAAUAUCGCUUGCCGAUUCUGCUCAAGAGUGGUUUACAGCGGUGAAUGACCUCGAACUUCUGCAUUUAUUGUUCAGCAAAUGGAGAUGAUAAAGUCUCUCUGAACGAUUCAUUCAGGACCAACCCUUGCCUUUCCAUUUUGAAAUCAACCUGGAAAUCACAGGCCUUCCUCACUCUCCUUGGAUGGUGUGCUAUGCAUUCAAGAGUCCUUUCUCAGGCAGCGUUCUGAAGACACCGCAGAAGACCAUCAAGACUUCUCAGUGUGUUUAUUCUGAUUUAGACUUUUCAUGGAUUUACCAUUGGUAGGAGGAGCAGUGCGGUUGCAUCUGCGUAAACUCGAAGGGCUGCCCGGCUGCAAUGGCAUCUCCUACAGGAGGGACCUAAUUGAGGACUGUCUGAGACAUAAGGAUUGCUGAUGCCAGCCAAUGGGGAACUGCUAUUUAGAAGAGAUGUUUUCUUGGGACCAAUGGGAUGAGG